GCAAACUUGGUCAUUUAGAGGAAGUAAAAGUCGUAACAAGGUUUCCGUAGGUGAACCUGCGGAAGGAUCAUUACCGAGUGCGGGUUCCAACGAGCCCAACCUCCCACCCGUGUUUACCGUUACCGCGUUGCCUCGGCGGGCCCACUGGGGCCUGGCCCCGGUCGCCGGGGGGCACCUGCCCCCGGGCCCGUGCCCGCCGAAGCACCCUCGAACCCUGUCUGAAUAGUGAGUCUGAGUGAGAUUGAAUCAUUAAAACUUUCAACAACGGAUCUCUUGGUUCCAGCAUCGAUGAAGAACGCAGC
rnacentral:misc_RNA from 1 species